GAGGAUACGGUUAACGGAGCGAAAGCGACGUUCAACCGCAAAAGAAGCAGAGGGGGCUUAGUGGUGGGGUGACUGCGUACCUUUUGUAUAAUGGGUCAGCGACUUAUAUUCUGUAGCAAGGUUAACCGUAUAGGGGAGCCGGAGGGAAACCGAGUCUUAAUUGGGCGUUAAGUUGCAGGGUAUAGACCCGAAACCCGGUGAUCUAGCCAUGGGCAGGUUGAAGGUUGGGUAACACUAACUGGAGGACCGAACCGACUAAUGUUGAAAAAUUAGCGGAUGACCUGUGGCUGGGGGUGAAAGGCCAAUCAAACCGGGAGAUAGCUGGUUCUCCCCGAAAGCUAUUUAGGUAGCGCCUCGUGAAUUCAUCUCCGGGGGUAGAGCACUGUUUCGGCUAGGGGGCCAUCCCGGCUUACCAACCCGAUGCAAACUGCGAAUACCGGAGAAUGUUAUCACGGGAGACACACGGCGGGUGCUAACGUCCGUCGUGAAGAGGGAAACAACCCAGACCGCCAGCUAAGGUCCCAAAGUCAUGGUUAAGUGGGAAACGAUGUGGGAAGGCCCAGACAGCCAGGAUGUUGGCUUAGAAGCAGCCAUCAUUUAAAGAAAGCGUAAUAGCUCACUGGUCGAGUCGGCCUGCGCGGAAGAUGUAACGGGGCUAAACCAUG
rnacentral:rRNA from 1 species